AUGAGAACCCAGGUUUGCGCUCCCUACUCUCCACUGAUAACCUGUCAAAGGGCCUUGCAAGAGCUUUUGACUAAUCGCCUCCCAAGGUACUGGGAUUACAGGUGUGAGCCACGGUGCCUGGCUGAGAAGAUGGAUUUAAGACAUGUUUUGGAGGUAACAUUGUCAGGACUUCCUGAAGGAUUAGAUGUGGAAGGGGAGGAUAAGAAACAGACCAAGGAUAACUUUCACAUGUAUGUUUAAGCAACUAGAUGGAUAAUGAUGCCAUUCAGUGAGUGAAGCCUUUAUGGAGGUGGAAGAUCCAGAGUUCUUUUCUAUCUAGGUUAAUUUGAGACAUCCCAGAGCAUAAGUCAAGUAAGUAAUUGAAUAUUGGAGUGGAGACUUAGUUGUCUACCAGAAUUAUUGUUUUCUUUGUCGGUCAUACACCAACACUGCAUUCCUCAAGUAAAAUAAGCGUGCCUCUGUGCCUGUGCUCUCCCCAGUGGAAAGUGAGCAGAAGAGGUGUGCACAGUUUCCAGGCCUGGCCCAUACAGACCUCCAACAGGUGUUCCCUGUGCUCUUACUCCUUCUGCCAACUGGAAGCAGAUGGUGACCAGGCUCUGGAGAAGGCAAGGCCUGAAGAUGGGAGAUUCCUGAGUGGAGAACUGUGCCUUACUGACCUAAAUAUCGACUCUUUAUUGUUAUGUGGGAAUAAACAAACUUGUGUUGACCUUUUA